rnacentral:miRNA from 10 species
UAUUAGGUUGGUGGAAAAGUAGUUGCGGUUUUUGCCAUUAAAAGUAAUGACCAAAAUCGCAAUUAUUUUUGCACCAACUUAAUACUUUAC